CGGUUAAUCCUGCCGGUCCCCACCGCUAUCGGGAUAGGUCCAAGACAUGCUAGUCGAGCGCCUUCCAACCCCAGCAGUUGGAGGCGCGGCGCACAGCUCAGUAACACGCGGCUAACCUGCCCUUGGGACGGGGAUACCCCCGGGAAACUGGGGCUAAUCCCCGAUAGGUGAAGACCUCUGGAAUGAGUCUUCGCCCAAAAGGCGCCUAAAUCAUGCUUUUAGGCGCCGCCCAAGGAUGGAGCCGCGUCCGAUCAGGUUGUUGGUGAGGCAACGGCUCACCAAGCCUUUAACCGGUGCGGGCCGUGGGAGCGGGAGCCCGGAGAUGGGCACUGAGACAAGGGCCCAGGCCCUACGGGGCGCAGCAGUCGCGAAAACUCUGCAAUACACGAAAGUGUGACAGGGCUAUCCCGAGUGCCUUCCGCUGAGGAAGGCUUUUACCCAGUCUAGAAAGCUGGGAGAAUAAGGAGAGGGCAAGUCUGGUGUCAGCCGCCGCGGUAAUACCAGCUCUCCGAGUGGUGGGGAUGUUUAUUGGGCCUAAAGCAUCCGUAGCUGGUCGAGCUAGUCCCCCGUUAAAUCCAACGAAUUAAUCGUUGGAGUGCGGGGGAUACUGCUCGGCUAGGGGGCGGGAGAGGCCGACGGUAUUCCCGGGGUAGGGGUGAAACCCUAUAAUCCCGGGAAGACCACCAGUGGCGAAGGCUGUCGGCUGGAACGCGCCCGACGGUGAGGGAUGAAAGCUGGGGGAGCGAACCGGAUUAGAUACCCGGGUAGUCCCAGCUGUAAACGAUGCAGGCUAGGUGUUUGAGCGGCCACGGGCCGCUCAAGUGCCGCAGGGAAGCCGUUAAGCCUGCCGCCUGGGGAGUGCGGCCGCAAGGCUGAAACUUAAAGGAAUUGGCGGGGGAGCAC
rnacentral:rRNA from 1 species